GAAAUGCGAUAAUUAAUGUGAAUUGCAGAAUUCAGUGAAUCAUCGAGUCUUUGAACGCACAUUGCGCCCCCUGGUAUUCCGGGGGGCAUGCCUGUCCGAGCGUCAUUGCUGCCCUCAAGCACGGCUUGUGUGUUGGGCUUCCGUCCCUGGCAACGGGGCCGGGCCCAAAAGGCAGUGGCGGCACCAUGUCUGGUCCUCGAGCGUAUGGGGCUUUGUCACCCGCUCCCGUAGGUCCAGCUGGCAGCUAGCCUCGCAACCAAUCUUUUUAACCAGGUUGACCUCGGAUCAGGUAGGGAUACCCGCUGAACUUAAGC
rnacentral:misc_RNA from 1 species